rnacentral:rRNA from 1 species
AUUGAACGCUGGCGGCAGGCUUAACACAUGCAAGUCGAGCGGGGUGAUGGUGCUUGCACUAUCACUUAGCGGCGGACGGGUGAGUAAUGCUUAGGAAUCUGCCUAUUAGUGGGGGACAACAUCUCGAAAGGGAUGCUAAUACCGCAUACGUCCUACGGGAGAAAGCAGGGGAUCACUUGUGACCUUGCGCUAAUAGAUGAGCCUAAGUCGGAUUAGCUAGUUGGUGGGGUAAAGGCCUACCAAGGCGACGAUCUGUAGCGGGUCUGAGAGGAUGAUCCGCCACACUGGGACUGAGACACGGCCCAGACUCCUAUGGGAGGAAGCAGUGGGGAAGAUUGGACAAUGGGGGGAACCCUGAUCCAGCCAUGCCGCGUGUGUGAAGAAGGCCUUAUGGUUGUAAAGCACUUUAAGCGAGGAGGAGGCUCUUUUGGUUAAUACCCAAGAUGAGUGGACGUUACUCGCAGAAUAAGCACCGGCUAACUCUGUGCCAGCCGCCGCAGUAA